rnacentral:rRNA from 1 species
UACGUAAGGGGCAAGCGUUGUCCGGAAUCACUGGGCGUAAAGCGCACGUAGGCGGACUCUUAAGUCGGGGGUGAAAUCCUGGAGCUCAACUCCAGAACUGCCUUCGAUACUGAGAGUCUUGAGUCCGGGAGAGGUGAGUGGAACUGCGAGUGUAGAGGUGAAAUUCGUAGAUAUUCGCAAGAACACCAGUGGCGAAGGCGGCUCACUGGCCCGGUACUGACGCUGAGGUGCGAAAGCGUGGGGAGCAAACAGG